CAAGUCGUGGGGCAGCAUGUCCCGUAGCAAUACGGGAUGAUGGCGACCGGCAAACGGGUGCGGAACACGUACACAACCUUCCUUUAAGUGGGGAAUAGCCCGGGGAAACCCGGAUUAAUACCCCGUAACAUAUUGACUCGGCAUCGGGUUAAUAUUAUAGCUCCGGCGCUUAAUGAUGGGUGUGCGCCUGAUUAGGUAGUUGGCGGGGUAAUGGCCCACCAAGCCUUCGAUCAGUAACUGGUGUGAGAGCACGACCAGUCACACGGGCACUGAGACACGGGCCCGACUCCUACGGGAGGCAGCAGUAAGGAAUAUUGGUCAAUGGACGCAAGUCUGAACCAGCCAUGCCGCGUGGAGGAUGAAGGUCCUCUGGAUUGUAAACUUCUUUUAUCUGGGACGAAAAAGGGUCUUUCUAGACCACCUGACGGUACCAGAUGAAUAAGCACCGGCUAACUCCGUGCCAGCAGCCGCGGUAAUACGGAGGGUGCAAGCGUUAUCCGGAUUCACUGGGUUUAAAGGGUGCGUAGGUGGGUCUGUAAGUCAGUGGUGAAAUCCCCGAGCUUAACUUGGGAACUGCCAUUGAUACUAUAGAUCUUGAAUACUGUGGAGGUCAGCGGAAUAUGUCAUGUAGCGGUGAAAUGCUUAGAUAUGACAUAGAACACCAAUUGCGAAGGCAGCUGGCUACACAAAUAUUGACACUGAGGCACGAAAGCGUGGGGAUCAAACAGGAUUAGAUACCCUGGUAGUCCACGCCCUAAACUAUGGAUACUCGACAUUUGCGAUACACUGCAAGUGUCUGAGCGAAAGCAUUAAGUAUCCCACCUGGGAAGUACGAUCGCAAGAUUGAAACUCAAAGGAAUUGGCGGGGGUCCGCACAAGC
rnacentral:rRNA from 1 species